rnacentral:misc_RNA from 1 species
GAUGAAGAACGCAGCGAAAUGCGAUAAGUAAUGUGAAUUGUAGAAUUCAGUGAAUCAUCGAAUCUUUGAACGCAUCUUGCGCUCCUUGGUAUUCUGAGGAGCAUGCCUGUUUGAGUGUCAUUAAAUUCUCAACUACACUGACUUUGAAUUGGUGUGGCUUGGAUUUGGGGGGAAAAUUGUUGUGGGCUUUUUGUAUAGUCUGCUCCCCUGAAAUUGAUUAGCGGUACCUUUGUGGAACUGUCUACAGGUGUGAUAAUUAUCUACAUCUUAGACAUCUGCUGGAAUGCUGCUUUCUAAACCUUACUUGUAUUGACAAUCUUGACCUCAAAUCAGGUAGGACUACCCGCUGAACUUAAGCAUAUCAAUAAGCGGAGGA